UUUCUUGAAAGUUUCUAUAUUUUCCAACGUGUUUUUCUCGUUGCUGCAACCAAUGAAAACAAUGCUGAUGUGAACGGCGGGUGUCUCCACGGAAAGGGACCAAAUGGACCCAGGGCGGCCUCAGUCGAUCUCCGCACGAAUGAGUCGUGUCCCCCGGAACCUGUGUUCAAGACUACAGCAUCAGAUCUUGCCUGAAUUUCCAGGCUUUGGGCCUGCCCUGCAGAUUUCAACCCUGCCAGCCCCCACUAUAUUACAACCAGCACUGUGAGCCCUGAAUUGGAGAGCUACUGAGUUGGAGCCUCAUCCCCGACCCUGCAAGGAGACAGUAGGAUCAGCUGCUCUUCUAGAGCACCUAAAACUUCAUGUCUUUCCCUCUGCAUCCCAUCCCACCCCUUUUUGUGUGCAUCUUGAUUUUUGAAUGACUGAUGAGUCGCUGGAAAAGACCUCUCCACAUCAGCUGCUUUGGCCUGCCUGUCACUCAGCACCUGGUCCAAACAAAACCUCAGCACGUGCUCAGUGGGGUAAGUAAGCACAUGAUCAAAGCUCCAGGCUAGAAUUGACAGCCUCAGACUAUCUUCCUGGUGUUUGCUGGACUCCCGGGUUUAUACUGGGAAAUGCCAAGUCAUUCCCAAUAUGCAUCACAGAGAGUAGGUACUCAUAAAUAUUUACUGAAAACUUCUGAGGAUGAAGUGCACACAAAGGGAGAUCUCACGACAUGUUGCCCGUCACCAACUCUGUCCUCCUUGGGCUCUUCUCUCUGGGCAUUAUCCUCCUCCAUCAGGAUCUUCUGCUGAAUCUCAAAGGAGAAACUGGGAUCAAUGCCAGCCUGUGCUCAGCAAGAAAAGAGAGAUACCAUGAGUGGGAAGCUGGAAGCUGAGGUGACCUCUGAAAGCUGCAGGUCAGCAGAGCUAACAUCUGGGAAACACAAACUGCUGUCGAAAUUGAAAAACAGAUAUCCUGGGUCAUCCUAUAUUCCCACUGCUGACUAUCCUUUAGGAUGACAAAACUUUCACACUAUCAACACUAACCACCACCAACCACCACCGACAAAAGCACACUUUUGGAUAAAAUAAUUAGAGAUUUUUUUUAAAAAUGGAUGCUGGCAAACAAUCAAUGGGCAAAUAUUUAGGCAAAGAGAAGAAUCCGUUUUUCACAUAGUUUCUGCUUGGGGUUUACUGUUCCUUAUUUUCUAUUUUUCAUCCCAUGCUUAUUAUUUACCAGCAUGUUAGGUACUUUGUCUUUAUUAUAUCAUUUAAGUUUUACAAAAUCUCAUUAUAGAAAAGGAAGCCAAUGUCCUUGUUCUUAAGAGCUCCCCACGGAGCUCCUGACUUUAAGUCAGACCUCCCACAGCUCUCAUAUGUCCAGUUUUCUCUGCAGACUCAGGGCUGCCUCAGGAGAUGAUGUGGUCCCACCAUCAUGUUAGGGUUCCCAUUUGUUUGGUACUUACUAUGCCAAAUAUUUCUCAUUUGAUUUUCACGAUGACUCAGAUAUGGCAUGAGGAGGGGAAUUCAAUUUUGGACAUGUUGGGUUGGAGGAUAUCUAUAGAUCAAGUGAAGUGCAGGGAAGAGAUCAUGGCCAUGGCUGGAGAUGUAUAUUUGGAGGAUGCAGAUAUUUUUUUUAAUAUUUUAUUAAAAUAUUAAAGUUCCUGGGAGAAGAUGGAGGGGACGAGGUCAUCUUACAGUUGGAAGGCUGGCCUUGACUAGGAUAUAUAUUCCUCAUUUCAAGAGGAUGAAUAAAGGAAAGGAGAGGGGGAUAGAUACCUACAUAGGUCAAGAGCUGUGUGAUGGAAGGAGUUAAGAGUACAGGAUAUUUACAUACUGAGGGCUUUAUUCUUGUCAGUGAAGUACAAGACCAACUUUUCCAUUGAAAGUCUACCAACUGGAAAAUUUUUGUAGGAGCUAAAUGCUGAAAUAUAGACUUCCAUGAGUUACAUUAAAAAGAAGCUUGAUUCAUUUUGUUGUAAAGCAGAAACUAACACACCAUUGUAAAGCAAUUAUACUCCAAUAAAGAUGUUAAAAAAUUAAAAAGAAGCUUGAAAAACUUUUGUGCUACAAAUAAUACCAAGAAAGAAAAAACACAACCCACAGAAUGGGAGAAAAUAUUUACAAAUCAUAUAUCUGAUAAGGGACUUGUAUCUAGAAUAUUAAAAGAAACUUAAAAUUCAAAAUGCUCAUAGGAUCUGAAUAGAUAUCUCUCCAAUGAAGAUAUACACAUGACCAAUAAGCACAUAAAAAGAAGCUGAACAUUAUUCAUUAGGGAAAAGCACUCCAAUACCACAAUUUGAUACCACUUCACACCCACUACACUGGCUAUAAUGUAAAAGACAGAUAAUAUCACAUGUUGGAAAGGAUAACAUGCUUUGGGGAUGUAAAAUGCCACUUGGGAAAAUAGUCUCUCUGUUCUUCAAAAGAUUAAACACAGAGCUGCAAUAAGACCCAGCAAUUCCACUCAUAGGUAUAUACCCAAAAGAGAUGAAAACAUGUUCACACAUAACUUGAAUACAAAUGUUCAUAUCAUCACUAUUCAUAAUAGCCAAAAAGUAGAAACAACU